rnacentral:lncRNA from 1 species
AGUCAGGCUAGCAUCUGAUGCUGACUCAGAGCGCUUCUGUGUGCAAGGGGUGGCGGCGGCUGGUAUUUUCACUGCGCUCAUCAUUAACAUUAACGCACAGUCUGGCAUCCACCCUCUCCCAGACCUGCUGGACUGCGGCAUUUGCAUGACGCUGUCACUCUUGCCUCUGCAGCGGUUUGACAUCUUCCCGGAAGAAAAUGUCUUGUGCUUCAAUGAGCCAGUUGCCACUUAGUGCUCCCCUCCCAUCCCCUCCAAUCCCCACCCUUUUCGCUGCUAAUCAAUAAGACAGAUCUGCAAGUACAGUGUGGAAACAGACUCAGGCUCGGUCUCGCCCGCCCGGGUCCCCACCUCAGGAAGCAGCCAGGCAGGCUCACAUGUGACACAGAAAGACAUAAUGCCAGCAGCUUCUCAACAGCCCUAGACUUCAUUCUGUGGUUUCAUUUUCUUUCCUCUUUGACCGAAGAAAGAGCAAAAGAAUUAGAAGACCAGCCCUGCCAGGAUCUGACUAAUCAAUGUGAUUUACACUGUGGUGAAAUGCUAAAUUGUGGACUGACAUCAACCAACAAGGACAGAACUAGCCAUCGGUGACUCUACAGCAUACAAAAAAGGCAUACAAAAGGGAAGCAAAGGACACCAUCCUCCAGCCAAUGCUGUCUGGUGCAGCAGAUAUGCCAGUUUACUCUCACAGACAUUCCCAGCAUGCAGUGCGGCGCUGCAGGACCAACUAAGGUAGCAGUUUGGCAACAGAUCAGUGGCAACAAAUGCAAAGAACAGCCAACCAUUCUCUGAGGUUCCAGAAAAAAAAAAAAAAAUCACACGAUCCAUAAAGAGAUGCAAGUACAACAUAGCUCUCUAAAAUCAGCUCUUACCGGCUUCUGAUUUGAAAGAAGGAACAGGAAAUGGGUGUGGGAGGGAGAGCAACCCUCAGGCACAAAGAAAGAAGUGGCCACCAAAAGGAAACAUGAUGCUAACUGCAUAUUCUCAGGAGAAAGGAAAAAGGCAGGAAAGACAAGGAUGGGAAAGGUAGGGGAAAAUGAAAUGAAAUAUAGAGGCGGGGGUUGACAGACAGGAAGGACAGCAAUGAGCCAGCCACUGUGUAGUUCAUCAACACAGAAAACAUGAAGCACGAUUUCCAAGACCGGAGACCGAGUGUGGCUGGAGCUUGGAAUCAGAAGGAAAGUUAAAACAAAGAUUCACACACACACACACACACACACACACACACACACACACACACACACAGAGAGAGAGAGAGAGAGAGAGAGAGAGAGAGAGAGAGAGAGAGAGAGAGAGAGAGAUUAGCCUAGCACACUUAUUUGUCAGUUACAGCAAGAGGCUUGCAGAAUUCAUCACGUUUUAUGUGUUAAACUGAAUGCCUCUGUCUCAUUGAUUAGACUUUUUUUUUUAACCUUCUUGCAUCUGUGCAUUCUUUAUGCUUUCUUUUUCCUAAGAAGUUGCUCACAAUGCUCUUGGUAAAUUAGUGUCAUGACUGUGCUAUAUCAGAUGUAAAAUGUCAACUGUUUUAAUAACUGAAUACAUGCUUAUAACAACUAGCCAUUGAUACCCAGCACUGUGGACCUUGUACUCGAGUGCCUCACUCCUAGGUCUUUGGCCCAGAAACAACAAAUUCACCAUCAACUUUCCCCCUUAAUCUAUGGUUUUGUUUUAUUUUUUAUUUUAUUUUUUACAUCCAACAGCAUACAUGACUUGACUCCACAAAAGAAAGCAUGAAAAAAUAUGAACGGAAGAGUUUAGAAAAGCAAAAGCAAUAAAAGUUGGAAGGAAAAUAACAAUUAUUAAUGGAUGGCAUGGGUUAAAAUAUUUAUCUUGAGACCUCAGUUAGCUAGUUCCAAGUGGCCAGGCCUCUGCCAGGACCUCCCUUGAGGCCAAUAGGAAAGCAGAUUUGAUUACAUCAACAUUUAUUGAAAGAAAAUGUUGAAAUCAAGCAAUUUGGUCACCACUGUCAUAGAUGCAAGCUUGUAAUCCCUGCUACUUCUCAGCUUCUAAUCACUGUUUAUCAUGGUUUUUAUUCUGACUGUAUAUUAGGGUUUAUGCUUUGACCAUAGCAAAAGUAUUACAGAGAAAAUGUUGACUUUGCUUCUAUAUUUAAUUUGAAAAAUGUAACCCUGGUACAACCUUUCUUUCGAUAUUAAUUAUUUUCAAAUAAUUAAUUUUGGAGGUUUGUUUGCUAACUUUUGAAAACACCAAAAUUGGUAUGAUUGUACAUUAAAUGAUAUAUGAAGUUAAAGGAAGCAGGGCUUUGAAAUAAUACAGUCUGCCUGCUCCUUCGUUGCAGGGCAAGAAUCUCUUGUUUCUUCUAAAUGCUAUUUGAGAUUAAACUGAUUAUAUGAUUAUAUUAACUUAAUGGGUGAGUUUUAUAAUAAGGAGGGUAGGUGACAUAAAAAUGAUAUGUAGUUCAUACUGUGACUCAAAUUUCAUGAAUGUGCGGGCACAACAUAUUAUUCAUCUGCCCAAUAUUUUCUGUACAUAUUUGACUUGUACUGUGCAACCAGCUGCAACCAGUAAUCUGGAAUAUAAACUAGAAUUAAACUAAAGUCAAAGUCCAUUGCCUCUGUUUCCCUCGCUGUAUCUCUAAAGGAUAGCAUAUAUGACUGAGACAAUGUGCAUUUAAAACACCCUCCAACUUUGCAGAGAGAACUGAUUGUACAAAUCUGACUUAAUCUGUCCCUCUGAAAGGCCUAUGGCAUAAUUCAGCAUUUGUUUCCAAUGCUUUUAUUCUACUGUCUUUUAGGGGAACUAAACUGUAUUCAUUCACUUAGAGAUCUAAAAUAAAAAGCAUUUCUUUUUCACUGAAGAAACUGGUUCUGUUUACUAAUAGCUUUAAAAACUGCAAGAUGAUUUACAGGUUACACAGAAAUGAUGUAACAAAAUUAGAAGACUCAAGAAUCUGCUCCUACUGUGGGUUCUGAGUAUAUGGGAAAUGCUUAUUUCUCUAACCUUUCUAGAACGGAGAGCCAUGUUCUCUCUAGUGCCAAACAACACAUAUCAUAGAGUGCUCUGCUCUUUAGAAGGGAUGGAAUAGUAGUGGGAGAAGCAAAAAUACAGAGGGUUUAUUUUGUUUCUACCUCCUAUUCACAUUUGAAAGGAAUAGCAGGAAAAGAAAUAAAAAUAGGAAAGGACUUUCUGGUUCUUCUCUUUUUACAGAUAAAAUAAUGAAUACUUAAAAGAUAAGGA